GAUUUAUAAAGAAGAGGGGAGAGAAUAGGCUCCGCGAACCUCUGGCAACCUGUUUCCAAAUACACGAGAUAAGGUGCUAAUUCCUACCUAAGCGGUCGCAACAACGACCCUCAGGGGAUAUAAAUC
rnacentral:ncRNA from 2 species